CGUUCGUAGUAGGAGAUGAUCGAUAAAUUUGAACGAGUACGACCGAACUAACAAGUGAUCAGUCAGCUUUCGAAGAAUUUAAAUCGUGAUAAUCAUAAUCAUCUACAAGUGAAAAUGCCGGGACCAGAUUGCGAUAAAUGUGCAGAUAAAUGCCAAAAAUGUCAAUGUGGCGACAAAUGCAAGUGUGGCGAUUCCGGAUGCGGUGACAAAUGCUGCUGUAAAUCUGGUGGACAAUGUAGUUGCAAGAGUUGCAAGUGCUAAUCUGCAAGCAGGAUGCUAAUAAAUUGAUCAGCAUUAAGAAUGAAUAUUCCAACUUUAAAUAUCACUAUUAUCUAGUUAUGCUUUCUUUAUUAUGCUUAUUCUUUAAUAUCAUGAAAAUUUAUUGAAAAAUCGAAUUAUCGAAUUUAUUAUAUUAGUAUUAUAUGUAUUAAUAAAUAAAAGUAUUAAAAAUUG